UUCACCUACGGGAGGCAGCAGUGGGGAAUAUUGGGCAAUGGGCGCAAGCCUGACCCAGCAACGCCGCGUGAAGGAAGAAGGCUUUCGGGUUGUAAACUUCUUUUAUGAGGGACGAAAGAAAUGACGGUACCUCAUGAAUAAGCCACGGCUAACUACGUGCCAGCAGCCGCGGUAAUACGUAGGUGGCAAGCGUUAUCCGGAUUUACUGGGUGUAAAGGGCGUGUAGGCGGGACUGCAAGUCAGAUGUUAACAUUAUGGGCUCAACCCAUAAACUGCAUUUGAAACUUGAGUUCU
rnacentral:rRNA from 1 species